AGAGUUUGAUCCUGGCUCAGGAUGAACGCUGGCGGCAUGCCUAAUACAUGCAAGUCGAACGAGAGGAAGGAAAGCUUGCUUUUCUAAAUCUAGUGGCGAACGGGUGAGUAACACGUAGGUAACCUGCCCAUGUGCCCGGGAUAACUUCUGGAAACGGAUGCUAAAACCGGAUAGGUAGCAGACAAGCAUUUGACUGCUAUUAAAGUGGCUAAGGCCAUGAACAUGGAUGGACCUGCGGUGCAUUAGCUAGUUGGUGAGGUAACGGCCCACCAAGGCGACGAUGCAUAGCCGGCCUGAGAGGGCGGACGGCCACAUUGGGGCUGAGACACGGCCCAAACUCCUACGGGAGGCAGCAGUAGGGAAUUUUCGUCAAUGGGGGGAACCCUGAACGAGCAAUGCCGCGUGAGUGAGGAAGGUCUUCGGAUCGUAAAGCUCUGUUGUAAGAGAAAAACGGCACUCAUAGGGAAUGAUGAGUGAGUGAUGGUAUCUUACCAGAAAGUCACGGCUAACUACGUGCCAGCAGCCGCGGUAAUACGUAGGUGGCGAGCGUUAUCCGGAAUGAUUGGGCGUAAAGGGUGCGUAGGUGGCA
rnacentral:rRNA from 1 species